rnacentral:rRNA from 1 species
CCUACGGGUGGCAGCAGUGAGGAAUAUUGGACAAUGGGCGCGAGCCUGAACCAGCCAAGUAGCGUGAAGGAUGACUGCCCUACGGGUGGUAAACUUCUUUUAUAAUGGAAUAAAGUGAGGCACGUGUGCCUUUUUGUAUGUACUUUAUGAAUCAGGCUCGGCUAACUCCGUGCCAGCAGCCGCGGUAAUACGGAGGAUCCGAGCGUUAUCCGGAUUUAUUGGGUGUAAAGGGAGCGUAGAUGGGUUGGUAAGUCAGUUGUGAAAGUUUGCGGCUCAACCGUAAAAUUGCAAUUGAUACUGGCAGUCUUGAGUACAGUUGAGGUAGGCGGAAUUCGUGGUGUAGCGGUGAAAUGCUUAGAUAUCACGAAGAACACCGAUUGCGAAGGCAGCUUACUAAACUGCAACUGACAUUGAUGCGCGAAAGUGUGGGGAUCAAACAGGAUUAGAUACCCUUGUAGUC